rnacentral:rRNA from 1 species
AAUAGAUACCCUGGUAGUCCACGCCGUAAACGAUGAGUGCUAAGUGUUAGAGGGUUUCCGCCCUUUAGUGCUGCAGCUAACGCAUUAAGCACUCCGCCUGGGGGAGUACGGUCGCAAGACUGAAACUCAAAGGAAUUGACGGGGGCCCGCACAAGCGGUGGAGCAUGUGGUUUAAUUCGAAGCAACGCGAAGAACCUUACCAGGUCUUGACAUCCCACUGACCGGUAUAGAGAUAUACCUUUCCCUUCGGGGGACAGUGGUGACAGGUGGUGCAUGGUUGUCGUCAGCUCGUGUCGUGAGAUGUUGGGUUAAGUCCCGCAACGAGCGCAACCCUUGAUCUUAGUUGCCAGCACUUAGUUGGGCACUCUAAGGUGACUGCCGGUGACAAACCGGAGGAAGGUGGGGAUGACGUCAAAUCAUCAUGCCCCUUAUGACCUGGGCUACACACGUGCUACAAUGGAUGGUACAAAGGGCUGCAAGACUGCGAAGUCAAGCCAAUCCCAUAAAACCGAUUCUCAGUUCGGAUUGCAGG